rnacentral:rRNA from 1 species
UACAGAGGUCUCAAGCGUUGUUCGGAUUCAUUGGGCGUAAAGGGUGUGUAGGCGGUUGUUUAAGUUUGGUGUGAAAUCUCCCGGCUCAACUGGGAGGGUGCGCCGAAUACUGAAUGACUUCGAGUGCGGGAGAGGAAAGUGGAAUUCCUGGUGUAGCGGUGAAAUGCGUAGAUAUCAGGAGGAACACCGGUGGUGUAGACGGCUUUCUGGACCGUAACUGACGCUGAGACACGAAAGCGUGGGUAGCAAACAGG